UGGUUUAUUCACUUGGUCAUGAAUGAUUGCAUAGGAGGAGAUAUAGCCAUCACAUGCCAAGAUCUGUGUACAUUUUUACCAAAUUAAGGGAAAAAAAAUUCCUUUCUUGAAAAGGUUAAUUCGUGAUAGAAUUAGUAGGUUCAAUAAAUAACAUGCAAGGUAAGAAGAAAAGCUAACAAAAUAUCUUUUAAUAAGAUGAAACCAAAUAAAUGGGGAAUUAUAUUUUCA
rnacentral:lncRNA from 1 species